GUUACCUGGGGAUCUUGUUAAAAUGCAGAAUCUGAUUCAGUAGGUCUGGGCUGGGGCCCAAGAUUCUGCAUUUCUAGCAAGUUCUCAGAUGCUGCAAC
rnacentral:pre_miRNA from 1 species